UGCCAGGUGUAUGUUUCUGAUGUAGGUCA
rnacentral:piRNA from 1 species